UACAGAGAGUGCGAGCGUUAAUCGGAAUUACUGGGCGUAAAGCGCGCGUAGGCGGAUAGUUUAGUCGGAUGUGAAAGCCCAAGGCUUAACCUAGGAAUUGCAUCCGAUACUGAUUAUCUAGAGUAUGGUAGAGGGAAGUGGAAUUUCCGGUGUAGCGGUGAAAUGCGUAGAUAUCGGAAAGAACACCAGUGGCGAAGGCGGCUUCCUGGACCAAUACUGACGCUGAGGUGCGAAAGCGUGGGGAGCAAACAGG
rnacentral:misc_RNA from 1 species